rnacentral:rRNA from 1 species
AACGAACGCUGGCGGCGUGCUUAACACAUGCAAGUCGAACGGAAAGUCCCGGCUUUGGGGCGGUGCUCGAGUUGCGAACGGGUGAGUAACACGUGAGUAACCUGCCCUUGACUGUGGGAGAACUUCAGGAAACUGGGUCUAAUAGCGGCUAGGAGCUCCUGCUGCAGGGUGGGCGUUGGUUAGUUUCGGCGGUUGGUGAUGGACUCGCGGCUUAUCAGCUUGUUGGUGGGGUAGUGUCUUACCAAGGCUUGGACGGGUAGCCGGCCUGAGAGGGUGACCGGCCACAUUGGGACGGAGAUACGGCCCAGACUCCUACGGGAGGCAGCAGUGGGGAAUAUUGCACAAUGGGCGGAAGCCUGAUGCAGCAACGCCGCGUGCGGGAUGACGGCCUUCGGGUUGUAAACCGCUUUCGCCUGUGACGAAGCGUGAGUGACGGUAAUGGGUAAAGAAGCACCGGCUAACUACGUG